GUGGGGAAUAUUGCGCAAUGGGGGCAACCCUGACGCAGCCAUGCCGCGUGAAUGAAGAAGGCCUUCGGGUUGUAAAGUUCUUUCGGUGACGAGGAAGGUUGUUGUGUUAAUAGCGCAACAAAUUGACGUUAAUCACAGAAGAAGCACCGGCUAACUCCGUGCCAGCAGCCGCGGUAAUACGGAGGGUGCGAGCGUUAAUCGGAAUAACUGGGCGUAAAGGGCACGCAGGCGGACUUUUAAGUGAGGUGUGAAAUCCCCGGGCUUAACCUGGGAAUUGCAUUUCAGACUGGGGGUCUAGAGUACUUUAGGGAGGGGUAGAAUUCCACGUGUAGCGGUGAAAUGCGUAGAGAUGUGGAGGAAUACCGAAGGCGAAGGCAGCCCCUUGGGAAUGUACUGACGCUCAUGUGCGAAAGCGUGGGGAGCAAACAGGAUUAGAAACCCCUGUAGUCC
rnacentral:rRNA from 1 species